UACGAAGGGUGCAAGCGUUACUCGGAAUUACUGGGCGUAAAGCGUGCGUAGGUGGUUCGUUAAGUCUGUCGUGAAAGCCCCGGGCUCAACCUGGGAAUGGCGAUGGAUACUGGCGGGCUAGAGUGCGGUAGAGGAGAGUGGAAUUCCCGGUGUAGCAGUGAAAUGCGUAGAGAUCAGGAGGAACAUCAGUUGCGAAGGCGGCUCUCUGGACCAGCACUGACACUGAGGCACGAAAGCGUGGGGAGCAAACAGG
rnacentral:rRNA from 1 species